AGUUCGUUGGCGCCGUCAUACAAUUGUAAUCAAAUCAUUUCUCUUUUUACAAUACAAAUUUGUUAUAAUGUGUUUAUUCCCCUUCAGAAAACUACAUUUAUCAAUCUAUCACUUGAGAGCGGUAUAUCGCUACCUCAGCACAGGUGAGUAUCCUGAAAAAGCCACCAAAGAAGAGAAGAGGGGUAUCAGAAAGAACGCCAGUACAUUUGUUUUGAAAGCACACGUGGAGGGGUGAUGAGGUGAUGGACCACAGCCAGGCUCUGCUACGUAGACAGUACCCACAGGUGGGAGGUUUGUAUGCUGUCACCAGCCUGACACAGCUGACUUCCUUCAGCUCAUCGGCUCAGGGAUUUGUACAGAUUCUCAAUGUGUCUUGCAAUCACUGGGUCACGGUAAGUAACAUAGGCUGUGAGGAAGGUACUUUAAAUGUGUUUGACUCUUUAGGAAUUAAUAAUAACCAUGAUUUCCAUUCCCAGGUCAUAUCAAUGCUGCAAUACAGUGGAAAGACAGUUUGGAUCGGGUGGCCACAUGUACAGCAGCAGCAGGGAUGUAGUGACUGUGGACUGUUUACCAUCGCAAACAGCCUCACACUCUGCAUGGGUGAAGAUCCAGGUAAGUUAUGUUAUGAUCAAAAGCAAAUGCGUGAUCAUCUUUUUUCUUGUUUUGUAGAUGGAUCUCUUCCUCCUUUCCCGAGCUGUGAGAGAACCCCCCUCCCAGAGGUACAUUUCUGUGAUGUGGAGACCAUACAGGAUUGCACUGGAGCUGAUGGUGGAAUGCGGGAGCUGUGGUGAAUGGUUCCAUGGCCAGUGUGAAGAUCUACAGCCAGAUGACCUCAUAAGUAUGGAGGAGUGUAUGUGCUCCAUUUGCAGAGUUACACACAUGGGUGCCUUUUUUGUGAAUGUCUUUCUGGUUUGGACAACUACACCUGAUACACAACUCACUAAAAUGAUUGAGUGCAGAUUUCUGCUCGCCCUGCAGUGCUCUGUUAAGGGUUCAUCAGCACUAAGACUGGACAACUCGGAUCUACAUUGACUUCUACUCUAGCAUUUACACAAAUCUGACUUCCUGUAUGCUUCAUUAGUUAAGAGCCUGAAUUAUACACACUAAAGUCAGGGACAAUAUGUAGUGGUUAACAAUCAUAUUGCUUCUAGUUCCAAAUUUGUACUUUUGAGUGUUUGAAGUUAUGGAAGAAACCUUAAGAAAUCUUAUUUGAUAGCAUAUGAUAUAAUUUGGCUUCAUACAUAUUUAACAAAUGCAUAUACAGUAUUACCGAUAACAAAGGAACAACAACCAAUCUGCAGACCUGCUUUGAGAAAUGACAGGCUCCAUUCCUGGAUGAUGCCAAUGAUUUGACAAACACUGUAGGAAGUGGCAACACAUACAAUGAGGGUGUAUUACUUCAUUUUUUAAUGACAAGUUAUAUGGUUAAACUAAGAGAAAUGUGUUUGCAGAUUUAG